rnacentral:tRNA from 1 species
GUAACUAAAGCUUUUAUUGUCCUAAGCAUCAGCCUUGUAAGCUGAAAGAAGAAGAUUAUUCUAGUUACU